rnacentral:rRNA from 1 species
AAGGUAAUAAUCCUGUAGUCGAAAAUGUUGUCUCUCUUGAGUGGAUCCUGAGUACGACGGAGCACGUGAAAUUCCGUCGGAAUCUGGGAGGACCAUCUCCUAAGGCUAAAUACUCUCUAGUGACCGAUAGUGAACCAGUACCGUGAGGGAAAGGUGAAAAGCACCCCGGAAGGGGAGUGAAAUAGAACCUGAAACCGUGUGCUUACAAGUAGUCAGAGCCCGUUAAUGGGUGAUGGCGUGCCUUUUGUAGAAUGAACCGGCGAGUUACGAUUUGAUGCAAGGUUAAGCAGUAAAUGUGGAGCCGUAGCGAAAGCGAGUCUGAAUAGGGCGUUUAGUAUUUGGUCGUAGACCCGAAACCAGGUGAUCUACCCUUGGUCAGGUUGAAGUUCAGGUAACACUGAAUGGAGGACCGAACCGACUUACGUUGAAAAGUGAGCGGAUGAACUGAGGGUAGCGGAGAAAUUCCAAUCGAACCUGGAGAUAGCUGGUUCUCUCCGAAAUAGCUUUAGGGCUAGCCUCAAGUGAUGAUUAUUGGAGGUAGAGCACUGUUUGGACGAGGGGCCCCUCUCGGGUUACCGAAUUCAGACAAACUCCGAAUGCCAAUUAAUUUAACUUGGGAGUCAGAACAUGGGUGAUAAGGUCCGUGUUCGAAAGGGAAACAGCCCAGACCACCAGCUAAGGUCCCAAAAUAUAUGUUAAGUGGAAAAGGAUGUGGCGUUGCCCAGACAACUAGGAUGUUGGCUUAGAAGCAGCCAUCAUUUAAAGAGUGCGUAAUAGCUCACUAGUCGAGUGACACUGCGCCGAAAAUGUACCGGGGCUAAACAUAUUACCGAAGCUGUGGAUUGUCCUUUGGACAAUGGUAGGAGAGCGUUCUAAGGGCGUUGAAGCAUGAUCGUAAGGACAUGUGGAGCGCUUAGAAGUGAGAAUGCCGGUGUGAGUAGCGAAAGACGGGUGAGAAUCCCGUCCACCGAUUGACUAAGGUUUCCAGAGGAAGGCUCGUCCGCUCUGGGUUAGUCGGGUCCUAAGCUGAGGCCGACAGGCGUAGGCGAUGGAUAACAGGUUGAUAUUCCUGUACCACCUAUAAUCGUUUUAAUCGAUGGGGGGACGCAGUAGGAUAGGCGAAGCGUGCGAUUGGAUUGCACGUCUAAGCAGUAAGGCUGAGUAUUAGGCAAAUCCGGUACUCGUUAAGGCUGAGCUGUGAUGGGGAGAAGACAUUGUGUCUUCGAGUCGUUGAUUUCACACUGCCGAGAAAAGCCUCUAGAUAGAAAAUAGGUGCCCGUACCGCAAACCGACACAGGUAGUCAAGAUGAGAAUUCUAAGGUGAGCGAGCGAACUCUCGUUAAGGAACUCGGCAAAAUGACCCCGUAACUUCGGGAGAAGGGGUGCUCUUUAGGGUUAACGCCCAGAAGAGCCGCAGUGAAUAGGCCCAAGCGACUGUUUAUCAAAAACACAGGUCUCUGCUAAACCGUAAGGUGAUGUAUAGGGGCUGACGCCUGCCCGGUGCUGGAAGGUUAAGAGGAGUGGUUAGCUUCUGCGAAGCUACGAAUCGAAGCCCCAGUAAACGGCGGCCGUAACUAUAACGGUCCUAAGGUAGCGAAAUUCCUUGUCGGGUAAGUUCCGACCCGCACGAAAGGCGUAACGAUUUGGGCACUGUCUCAACGAGAGACUCGGUGAAAUCAUAGUACCUGUGAAGAUGCAGGUUACCCGCGACAGGACGGAAAGACCCCGUGGAGCUUUACUGUAGCCUGAUAUUGAAAUUCGGCACAGCUUGUACAGGAUAGGUAGGAGCCUUUGAAACGUGAGCGCUAGCUUACGUGGAGGCGCUGGUGGGAUACUACCCUAGCUGUGUUGGCUUUCUAACCCGCACCACUUAUCGUGGUGGGAGACAGUGUCAGGCGGGCAGUUUGACUGGGGCGGUCGCCUCCUAAAAGGUAACGGAGGCGCUCAAAGGUUCCCUCAGAAUGGUUGGAAAUCAUUCAUAGAGUGUAAAGGCAUAAGGGAGCUUGACUGCGAGACCUACAAGUCGAGCAGGGUCGAAAGACGGACUUAGUGAUCCGGUGGUUCCGCAUGGAAGGGCCAUCGCUCAACGGAUAAAAGCUACCCCGGGGAUAACAGGCUUAUCUCCCCCAAGAGUUCACAUCGACGGGGAGGUUUGGCACCUCGAUGUCGGCUCAUCGCAUCCUGGGGCUGUAGUCGGUCCCAAGGGUUGGGCUGUUCGCCCAUUAAAGCGGUACGCGAGCUGGGUUCAGAACGUCGUGAGACAGUUCGGUCCCUAUCCGUCGUGGGCGUAGGAAAUUUGAGAGGAGCUGUCCUUAGUACGAGAGGACCGGGAUGGACAUACCUCUGGUGUACCAGUUGUCGUGCCAACGGCAUAGCUGGGUAGCUAUGUGUGGACGGGAUAAGUGCUGAAAGCAUCUAAGCAUGAAGCCCCCCUCAAGAUGAGAUUUCCCAACUUCGGUUAUAAGAUCCCUCAAAGAUGAUGAGGUUAAUAG